AACUCCUAGCCUGGGAACUUCGAUAUGCCGCAGGUGCGGCCCUAAAGAAAAAAAUUUUUUUUAAUUUUAUAAAAAAAUAAAAACCGGGCUUCGUGGAGAUACAAGUGAAUUCUACACUCCUAUAGCUCCAGCAACCAUGUCAGGAACGAGGCCUCACCCCCUAGAUCUCCAGCUUAGAGAAAACAGCCCUUUGGCCAUAGAGGCUGGGCUGUGAAUCUUAUGCAAACAGUAAGGAGCAAAUAUCAAUGGCGCUGCCUGUGGUAAAAAGGAAGAGGAAGUGGAAAGCUAGUCCCUUCCGUCCCUGCAGAAGUUGAAAAAAGAAAGGAGAUGGAGGAAGAAUGAGGAGGCCAUUAAUAGGUCCUUACCCUGCACCCCCACACCUGCCCCACCUGCUGAGCUGCCCCCCCCCCACCUUGGGGAGGGCUAGAAACACGGAGGUGGGUGUGAGGAGAGGCUGAAGGCCUGUCUUUCAGCACAGUCCGGGCAGGUUGGAAGCCUCUCUGGGAAUUCCUAGUUUCACUGGGCUGCAGGGUUGCCUUGGAGGAAAGCAGCCGACAGGUGAACCAGAAGUAAUAGCCCUGGAUCCCUUGCCUCUCCAGGCCUGGAGGACUGUGGGAGGCCUGGAAAUGGACACCGAGGCCCCCACCAGGGGGGUAGCCCUUUAAGCCAGCAUGGCUCCCCAGAAGGCCGAGGGGAACACACGACCCUCUGUUGACCAUUCCAGAAGCGGGGCCAGCCCAGCCUCUCUGCAGCAGAGCCCAGGGAGGGUCCUGGACCCCUCCCCCAGCCCACACCAGGCCUCAAAGCCCCCAGGUGCCGACUGGGAGAAGAGCAGGGGGAGGGAGAGGAAACACGAGGCUGAGUUGUCCAGAAGACAGAAGAUGCUGAACAUGAUGAACCAGCAAGUGCCAAGUCUGCUCCUCCCAGCUGCCUAAAAGGUGGUGCAGAGAUUACAUCUACCACAGAAAAUAAGGUCUGCCUGCUAUGCACAGUGCAGCAAUGUGACGCUUUGACGACACCCACACCCCUCCCCCGAACACAUGUAUCUCUUGGCUGCAGCAAAGUCUGUCCCCCGACAGUUCUCAAGUAAACACAUCACUGCCACGAUUCUUCUACAAUUUCUUUUCGCUCUUUUCUGUGACUACGUAUCUGUUUCUAACUGUUCAAAAGCCAACUUUCCAUCUCUGAUGCCUUUGAUAGGCGUGUGAUUUGGGGCAACAGUGAACAAAACCCAAGCCUUGUGAGGAGGCAAAGAUAAACACAAGGCGACCAGCUGCAGUGACUCUGGACCAGAUCACAGCCUGCAGCGGCCCUGGCUGGGGGCAGGUGGAGGGGAGGGGACUGGAGGUUCAGGAGUUCAGGAAAAGAGCUGAGGAAUGAUGCCACCAUCAACUUCAUGCAGCAAAAGCCAGCAUGACAACAGGACUCCACGAUGGCAGACUCCCCCCGCCGCCCCCCCCACCCCGACCAGGAGACAGGUCAUUGGUGGCUUUGAAGAUGGAAGAGACCACAAGCCAAGGAAUGCAAGUGGCCUCUAGAAGCUGGAAAAGGCAAGAAAACACAUCCUCCUCUAGACCUUCCAGAAGGAAACACAGCUCUGCCGACACAUUGAUUUUAGCCCAGGAAGACGUACACCAGACUCCCGACCUCCAGAAUUACAAGACAAUAAAUCUGUGUUAAGUCAC